UAAUCUAUCCAGGCAAACCCACACCUAACUACGACAAACCCACACCUAACUGCUCAAAUCACUUGUUAUUGUAGAUCCGAUAACAUCAUUUAGUUUUUAAGAGAGAGUGUUUAGUGGGGUCUAUAUAAAACUAUGGU
rfam:Populus trichocarpa scaffold_144_contig_6, whole genome shotgun sequence.